GCCAGACUCCUACGGGAGGCAGCAGUGGGGAAUAUUGGGCAAUGGGCGCAAGCCUGACCCAGUAACGCCGCGUGAAGGAAGAAGGCUUUCGGGUUGUAAACUUCUUUUCUCAGGGACGAAGCAAGUGACGGUACCUGAGGAAUAAGCCACGGCUAACUACGUGCCAGCAGCCGCGGUAAUACGUAGGUGGCAAGCGUUAUCCGGAUUUACUGGGUGUAAAGGGCGUGUAGGCGGGAAAGCAAGUCAGAUGUGAAAACCAUGGGCUCAACCUGUGGCCUGCAUUUGAAACUGUUUUUCUUGAGUACUGGAGAGGCAGACGGAAUUCCUAGUGUAGCGGUGAAAUGCGUAGAUAUUAGGAAGAACACCAGUGGCGAAGGCGGCUUGCUGGACAGUAACUGACGUUGAGGCUCGAAAGCGUGGGGAGCAAACAGGAUUAGAUACCCGAGUA
rnacentral:rRNA from 1 species